rnacentral:rRNA from 1 species
AGAGUUUGAUCAUGGCUCAGAACGAACGCUGGCGGCAGGCCUAACACAUGCAAGUCGAACGCCCCGCAAGGGGAGUGGCAGACGGGUGAGUAACACGUGGGAAUCUUCCUAUCGGUGGGGAAUAGCUCAGGGAAACUUGGGGUAAUACCGCAUAAGCCCGCAAGGGGAAAGAUUUAUCGCCGAUAGAUGAGCCCGCGUCUGAUUAGCUAGUUGGUGAGGUAAUGGCUCACCAAGGCGACGAUCAGUAGCUGGUUUGAGAGAAUGACCAGCCACACUGGGACUGAGACACGGCCCAGACUCCUACGGGAGGCAGCAGUGGGGAAUCUUGGACAAUGGGCGCAAGCCUGAUCCAGCCAUGCCGCGUGAGUGACGAAGGUCUUCGGAUUGUAAAGCUCUUUUAGCAGGGACGAUAAUGACGGUACCUGCAGAAUAAGC